rfam:Picea glauca, whole genome shotgun sequence.
GUAUAUGUUUAUAGCAUAGCAUUAAUGCACCAGAUUCCAUUAGAACUUUGUAGUUAAGCGCGCUCGGGCUAGAGUAGUAUUGGGAUGGGUGACUGCGUGGAAAGUCCUAUUUUUUUACAUGCC